UAGUACUCCAACCUACUACUUCUGUUUAGUACUCCAACCUAUUACCCCUGUUUAGUUCUUUGAGGUUAGCCCUGUAUAUUCCUAUUCGAUGUUCCUUGUUCUGAUGCAUAAUCCCUUUUUUCGCUGAUUCAUUGAGGUUUUUAAAUCUCGAAUAACAAUUUUCAUGAAAUUAAGUUGCUCGGUCUAAAAAACCCUCCUAUUCGAUUUUCCUUGUUCUGAUGCAUAAUCCUUUUUUUCGCUGAUUCAUUGAGGUUUUUAAAUCUCGAAUAACAAUUUUCAUGAAAUUAAAUUUCUCGGUCAAAAAAAACCCUCCUAUUCGAUUUCCCUUGUUCUGAUGCAUAAUCCUUUUUUUCACUGAUUCAUUGAGGUUUUUUAAUCUCGAAUAACAAUUUUCAUGAAAUUAAGUUGCUCGGUCAAAAAAACCGUCCUAGGAUUAUCUUCGCCUUUCACUGUUGCCUAAUUAUUUCGUUAGUGAAGUUAGGCAGCUGAGGACUGCCUGGAUUGAAGCCAACGUUGUAAACAAGGAUAUUGUCUGUCCCCUUUCCUCUGCCCCUCAGGGAGAUCUUAGGGAUUAGAUUAAGAGUGUAUCCGAUCUGGCGGAUUAAAUGACCUGAAGGUUCAGCUGUUCUCUCCGUAUCCAUGUUAGAGCAGUCUCAGGCACUGCUGUAUCCAAGUAUUGAAAGCCAGCUUAAAUCAGGAGAGUUUCCGCAAAUAUUAAAAAAUUCCAUAAAACUAAAAUAUCUUUAGUUAAUGUAUUUAUUAUGAUAAAGCUAACUUAGCUGUAAAAGUUGUUUAAGGUGUUAAAGUGAGUAGGUUGACCCCUGUAUUCUGUAGCUGGGCCAGGGAGUAGGUUGACCCCUGUAUCCUGUAGCUGGGCCAGGUGACAACGAAACUGACCGCUACAAUAUAUACACUCCACACUAGGCAGUCAGCAGGUAAGCAGUCUAGGCUUUAACUACAGCCUUUAUUAGAGAAAUACAUCCAAUAGAAGCAUAGAAAGACAAUAGACUCUCCACUAAAACCCCACCAUUCCUUCGGUCAGUGUACUGCAAAUCACUGCAGUACACACCGAAAGCUUAGUUGAGGGUGAAUAGAUUGGACAGACAAAAAAUAGAUUAAAUAGACAGAAGAUAGGUUAGAUAGAUAGACAAUAGAUUGAAUAGACAGACAUUAGAUUGAAUAGACUGAAAAUAGGUUGAAUAGACAGACAAUGAAUUAAAUAGACAGUCAG